rnacentral:rRNA from 1 species
UAAAGCGAUUCAGCGGGUUACGAUUGACGGAGCGAAGCGACGUCAAAGCGUAUACAAAGUCGAGUCGGUUUAAGGAUACGUUCGUUGGGUAGGGGAGCGUUCUGUAAGCCUGUGAAGGUGGCCUGUGAGGGUUGCUGGAGGUAUCAGAAGUGCGAAUGCUGACAUAAGUAACGAUAAAGCGGGUGAAAAGCCCGCUCGCCGGAAGACCAAGGGUUCCUGUCCAACGUUAAUCGGGGCAGGGUGAGUCGACCCCUAAGGCGAGGCCGAAAGGCGUAGUCGAUGGGAAACGGGUUAAUAUUCCCGUACUUGGUGUUACUGCGAAGGGGGGACGGAGAAGGCUAUGUUGGCCGGGCGACGGUUGUCCCGGUUUAAGCGUGUAGGUGUGUGUUCCAGGUAAAUCCGGUUCACUUUAACACUGAGGCGUGACGACGAGGCACUACGGUGCUGAAGCAACAAAUGCCCUGCUUCCAGGAAAAGCCUCUAAGCAUCAGGUAACAUCAAAUCGUACCCCAAACCGACACAGGUGGUCAGGUAGAGAAUACCAAGGCGCUUGAGAGAACUCGGGUGAAGGAACUAGGCAAAAUGGUGCCGUAACU